CUCAGGCAAAAAAUUUUCCUUCUAUCAAAAAUCAGCUCAGAAAUUGCUCCCUUUCUAACCUCAAGCAGUUCAAAGAAAUCGCUUGUCUUCUAACAAAGAGCAGCCUAAAAGAUCAGUAAAACACAGAUAAGCAACUCGGGUACAGAACCACCCCCUGCGAGGGCGCCGCCCACCAGCAGCCUCAAGCAGUCAGGCAGGGGAUCCGCGCUGGAGCCUCGCUGUGGGAGCCCCAAGGACGCCAGCUGUAAGGUCACUUCUCCGCAGCAGCCCCGUGUAAAGUCCUCCCCGCCCCCCGCACCAGGCUGUAGGAGGAAACCAUCAGCUGUCUCUGAUUUCCCAUUUCCUCAAGCCGGGAGACAAACAUUGUCCCCUGAGGCGAUGGGUGGAGUCCUCACACGUCUUCCAAAGGCGGUUCCGCCCCGCGGGUAUCCGCCGGGCGCCGGGUGCCUCCGGGUGGGACAUCGGUGGCAGCCGGGCGCCACCUGUGGGGCAUCACUCAGGCAGGACCCGGCCUGAGCUCGAGCGUUGCAGGCGCCACGGGAGGAGCGCGCGGAACCCGGAAGAACUAGGCGGAGCGAAACUGAAACCACCCGCAACGAACUUUGACGAAAGCCUUUUGCAGCUGAAAUCCGCAAAUGCCUUUAAUAUCCUCCCUGAGGCGCGCAAGAGACAAAAAUGACUUUAGAGCGACCCCGACCCUAUUUUACCACCCACAGACACACAAAAACGAACACAGCAAAAGUAGAAAACCCAAUCCCUGUGCUCUUUAUGAAACAGGCAUUUAAGAACAGAAAGAAGCAGUGCUCAAGUGGGAGGAAAUAUUUGCAAAACAAUGAAGUGAAAUGAUCUCCUGGGAAAGGUGGGAAGCAGGGGAAAGGCGGAGUGAAACGACAGGGAGUUUCUCAGCGCUUCGGCUCCACCCGGGAGACCAAAGCCCCGGACGGCUCAGCGGGAGGCUCAGAUGUUUCCCCGCGCGGUGUCCUCUGUUUUCCGUCGCCAAGUCCGGGUCCCAAAGGCGCUGGCUGAGAGCCCCACGUUCCUUCGUUGCAUCCUGGCUCUGCUUCUGCUGCGGGACUGUCCCUGGACCGCACAGGCCGGUGCUCAGAGAGACAUGGCCAGCUCCACUCCUCCCCUGGCACCCACCUUCUGACCGCUCAGCACCUCUGUCCCUCUGCUGUCUACACGGACCAAUUCCUGCACUCUGCCUGCCUGCCUGCUCCCGUCACAUCCCUACCUGGCUGCUCUCGGAGGAGGAUCACACCGCAGCCCUUCCUGGUCUCCUGCUCAGCCUCCACCACAGUCUAUUCUGUUCAGCGAUUCAGAUCAUCCAUGUCCUGCACCAAGCCCGAGUCUCCAGCCUCGCUCUGUGCAGCUACAGCCUUUCCCAGGUAGACAAAAAAAAAAGGUUUAUAGCAGGAAAGGUUGUGUCCCUUGAGCUAAAACAUGGGUAGGGACAGCCUGGCCCUCUCACUUAAGCCAAACCUUGGCCUAGUGGCCAGGCCUUGGAAAGCAGGUGGUGCUGUCUCGUUUGCUUCUUACACAGUUCACGGGACAUGAUUCUGGCAGGACCCUUCCCCAUCAGGGAGCCUCACCCCCUGUUUCACAGUGAGGAGCAGAGGCCCCUGGGGGACUUGAUGGCUGGGGUGAGUCUCCAGUGAGACAUGAGUAAAUUACCUAAUUAAGGCAGCUCCACUGAAUACAUUCUACAUGCAGGCAAUUUGUUGUUUACUUCCCACAUAGACAAAGAAAUGAAAAUAGGAACUAAAUCAACAUCUCAGAAAGAAAAAUUACCUUUGAUGAAUGAAUGAUAAUGAAAGAUUUCUUGAUUAUUGAAAGUGUGUGAAAUGGUUCUCACCCCAAGGUCAAAAAGUUAAUAGCCCCCACCCAAACCAAAGUGUCCAUCAUUUGUUCAGGAAAGUAUUUGUUCAGCGCCUGCAACGUGCCAGGCAUGUGGCUGGGCCUUAUUGAUGAAACAGUGGGAAAGUCAGAUCAAAGGAGAACAUUAAUCAAAUAGUCAAACAGAUGACACAGAUCAGAGCCCACCCACAUUUCCUGGAGUCUGACAUCUUGUGAGAUUCUGGUAACAACAGGCCAGGAAGGAGGCGGAUGCUGUUUGUGCAAAGAAGACAGUCAGUAGAUGGGACUUGUUGGCAGUUGAACCCUCACAAGGUGAUGCCUCUAAUGUGUUUUAGAUGCUCUCUUCUGAGGCCGGGUCAUCCUUGGGGGUCCUGUCCUCCCCCUGCUCUCACCCCCAUGGACAGUUCUGGACUAGGCAGGAAUGACUGACCAUCAUGCCACAGUGGGGGCAGAAGAGAUAAGGUUUGGGGCUGAGUGAACAGUCCAGGGAGUUGACGAGUGUCACUGGAGGAG
ensembl:lncRNA